GGAUGUGAGGGCGAUCUGGCUGCGACAUCUGUCACCUCAUUGAUCGCCAGGGUUGAUUUGGCUGAUCUGGCUGGCUAGGCGGGUGUCCCCUUUGCCCCUCACCACUCCAUGUGCAUCCCUCCCAAAGCUGCGCACUCGGUGGAAGAGGAUGACCAUCCCAGAUAGAAGGAGUGUACCGUUCUUUGGUCAAGGGUAUAUGAUAGCUUCGCUUCCCUGCUAGAACCUUCAAACAAGCCCAACCACCUGUUUUAACACAAUUGGCCCUGCUUCAGAUGUUACCUUUGUGUUUUUUGUGUGUCAAGAAUUCCC